rnacentral:miRNA from 1 species
UUUAUAUGGGGUUGCCCAAAAAGUUUGUUCAGGUUCUUCCACAAGAUGUUAAAGAAAAACCCAAACAAACUUUGUGGCCAACCCAAUAU